ACCAGCCGAAAAUUGCCUCAACUGGCUGCGAUAGUCCAAUGGCCACCAAAACAACACAACCUGACCACCUCAACCUCCCAUUUCCAAAUCUCCAAACAUCUGCCCUCGAAACCAAGCUGAACCCUGAAUAUCAGCCAUAUAUUUGACUCCGUCGCCAAGCACGACGUCACCACCACUCCAAACAUCACCAAAAUUAUACCAAUGGUCUUCUCACCCUCCUCUUUCCGAAUCCACACCCAUUAUCCCUCAAAUCUUAGCCAAAGAUCUUGAAUCUUAAAUUUAAUCCAACCCUAAAAUCCGAAAUUUUCCAGUUAGAGUGUUCAUUGAGGUUUUGGGUUAGUUCUGAGGUUAUUUACGUAUUUUUGGUGAGAAGCACAUGAUUUACCUCAGAUUGAAUAAAGAUUUGAAAAAUCAGAGGUCCCCGCUGGUUCAUUAUCCGA
rnacentral:lncRNA from 1 species